rnacentral:rRNA from 1 species
GGGAUCUUCGGACCUUUCGGUUAAGAGAAAGUCUGUGGGAUAUCAGCUUGUUGGUGGGGUAAUGGCCUACCAAGGCUAUGACGUCUAGGCGGAUUGAGAGAUUGACCGCCAACACUGGGACUGAGACACUGCCCAGACUCCUACGGGAGGCUGCAGUCGAGAAUCUUUCGCAAUGGACGAAAGUCUGACGAAGCGACGCCGCGUGUGUGAUGAAGGCUCUAGGGUUGUAAAGCACUUUCGCCUGGGAAUAAGAGAGAUUGGCUAAUAUCCAAUUGAUUUGAGCGUACCAGGUAAAGAAGCA